rnacentral:rRNA from 1 species
CAAUAGCGUAUAUUAAAGUUGUUGCGGUUAAAAAGCUCGUAGUUGGAUUUCUGCUGAGGACGACCGGUCCGCCCUCUGGGUGAGUAUCUGGCUCGGCCUUGGCAUCUUCUUGGGGAACGUAACUGCACUUGACUGUGUGGUGCGGUAUCCAGGACUUUUACUUUGAGGAAAUUAGAGUGUUUCAAGCAGGCGCACGCCUUGAAUACAUUAGCAUGGAAUAAUAAGAUAGGACCUUGGUUCUAUUUUGUUGGUUUCUAGAGCUGAGGUAAUGAUUAAUAGGGAUAGUUGGGGGCAUUCGUAUUUAACUGUCAGGGGUGAAAUUCUUGGAUUUGUUAAAGACGGACUACUGCGAAAGCAUUUGCCAAGGAUGUUUUCAUUGA